CGCACAUCCAGGCAAUUCCUCUGGAUAGCAGCUCUGGCUUAACCUGUACCCUUUUGGUCACAGGAACAUCUGCUCUGUCUGAAGACAAAAUGCUAAAGAGGUCAGAAAGAGUAGCACGUUCGCCCUGCUGUCACAGUGCUUAUGCGGGCGUUGUUAGACCCAUCCACUGGCACAACUCUGGGAGCCGUUCACUGUAAUUCCAUCUCCGCCUGGAGAACCAGAGGGUUAACCAGCGUCGCUUUCCAGCAGGGAAGCACCGCCCGCUCCAGCUGUGCCGGGGGUUCCCAGGGCUGCCCCGGCCCGGCUCGGGUCUGCGCAAGGCGGGGACAGCCACCCUCUGCUCCCUGCUGCAUUAGCGGGUUUCGCCCUCUCCUAGCAGAGCGUCCCCGGGGGGCGGCUGGGAGAUUCCUGAGGAGAGCAAAGUGCCCGGAGGGAGCGGCAGGAGGAGGCGGGCGAGGAGAGCAUCCCCUCUCCUGCCGCCGCUGACGCCGUGCAGAGCUGUCGGUGUGGCUCCCCAGAGUUAGUUGCUCAGCAACAAGGAUCAAUUAAUAUGCUUUGCAGAAAGUGCAGGGGAAGCCCGAGCUGCUGUCAGCGAGAAGGCAGGAGGCUGAGGUCCCUCUGAUGACGCCACGAAUCUGGGAAUGAAGAACUUCUUCAAGCUGAUUGGAAAUGGCAUUGCGGAGCUGAAACUUAACUGGAGGAAAUAUAUCUCCCGAAGAAGGAAAUAUAAUGCACUUUAAAGAUCUGACUUCUGGUGAAAAAUUCAAGCCUAGAGAAAACUUGUCUGCUUUGUUUGGAAGAAUGGGUUGGACAAUUUUCUUCAGUUCCACAGGAUAUCUGAGUGCCAUGCUGAGCUUGAUCUCUGCAGCAUGCUCUGUGCUUCUCAUCUCUUCCUGAUGCACUGCAUGGUCAGCUCUUUAAUUGCAAGCUCCCUGAAAGGCCAACUUCAGCACUACCCAUUCAUAGCCCUAUAUUGUUGAUACUGAACAGCAGUUCCUACCAGCUCUAUGGUAGAUAUUAUCCUGAAGGGGACGAUAAAGAAACUGGCCACCAAGAUGGUAAUCACUAGUGGAAAUGAAGAAGAUAAAGGCAAUCAAGAAAAGGAGAGCAAAGAAGAAACCAUCUUGGCAAUGCUUGGAAUUAUUGGGACAAUUCUAAACCUCAUUGUGAUCAUUUUUGUGUACAUUUACACAACGUUGUAAACUAGCAGGCAUGCAAAUAGAGCAGAUAAAACGGCCAUUAAGAGUGACAACAAACAUUACUGACUAUUGACAAGUUGUUUAAUCAGAAUUGACUCUGUAUUAUAUUAACACAUCAUAAAAGCACUGCCUGCAGGCAGCGAAGGCUGAAGCACAAUUAAUUUAACAAGACUUCUUCACGCAGUAACAAGCUAAACUCUUCUGUCCUGCCCUCUUCCUUUCGCUUUGGUUUUUGGUUUGGGGAAAACAUGACUGCAAUUAUGUAAGUUGUAGCUUUGGAGAAAUCCACCUGGGUUAUGUUGUUUUAACACAAUUUAAAAAAAAGAAGAAAAAAAGAAAAAAAAGAAAAAAAUUAGAAA